AUGGCGAAGAGGUCACACCCGUUCCCAUCCCGAACACGGAAGUUAAGCUUUUCAGCGCCGAUGGUAGUAGGGGGCUUCCCCCUGUGAGAGUAG
rnacentral:rRNA from 1 species